rnacentral:lncRNA from 1 species
CGGGGGACCCUCCCCAUCGAAAGCUCUAGAGCCGCCAGGCCCCCCGGGACCCCGCGUCUUCGCAUCGUCUCCCGCCAGCCUCGCGCCCCGCCGCAGGCGCCCAAGCGGACUCACCCGGCAGGAUCCGAGUCCUAGGCGCGGCACAGUGGCGGCGAGCUUCGGCUGCAUAUUUGUCCAUGACACCCCAGUAGCACGGAUUGUUACUGAUCUGAAGGAGGUCUGGAACAAGGCAGUGGACGUAGUCGAUCUGGGUGUGGAACUUAGGAGGUGCCUCCAACUGCAGGAUCUCCUCUUCCAUUUCCCACCUGGGCUUAUUCCUUUUUCUGGAGCUUGUGCACAGCGUUAUAAUUUCAUCCUCUGAAUCCAUGUCACUGUCUUCUAUGCUGUUGUUUGUGACCAAGUUCAUCAUAGAACCAGUUAUGUGACCACCUGUACACGAAGCACUGUUGGCAGUUAUGACACAAGGCUGGCCAUUGGUAUGUGAGAAACAGGGUAUGUCAUCUUCUGUGUUUCUUCGUUUCAGCUGAGCAUCUCUCAGUUUCCUCUCAGACAGGUCUGCACUCACCCAUUCAUCUGAGUUGGGACUCAUAGGAACAGUGUGUCGUUUAAUAAAAUGCCACCUAAAGGCUAAAUCUGAGCGAGGUGGGAAAGGGCACUUAUCUAACAUGAGUUCACUGAUAUGAAUCUUUCUUUUAGAUGGAAGCCCUGGAGAGUGUCGGCCACUACAAUUCUUUAUUGGAAAACACUGCCCCACCGCAUCUUGCAGUUUCUGUUUAAGGGAUCGGCCUAAAAAUCUAUGCCCACAGGAAUGAUCUAAGUCCAACUCAAUGGACGAACAGCUAAGCUGCCUUUCUUGGCUUCUUAGAGGAAUUUCAACAUUCUCAACAGUACCUAUGGCUUCAGAUUCAGAACAACUCUCACUCUUUUUGGACCAAGACAACUUCUUUCCACUCCACACAUAACCAUCCUUCCUGUCAGCACUUCGACUCCGACUUGUUUUAGGCCGUACAUCUACAUUUUUACUAUUGUUUUCAGCCAUUUUAAACAAAUUCUUUACAAUUUCCAGUGUUAUAAAUAUUGUGUUUUCAGCUUUUCUAAGAGGAAGUUUCUUCUGGGCACUUUCUGGACGGAUCUAAGAAAAAGAAAAAAGGAAGUCAUUAGCAACCUGCUCACCUAUGCUAGAUUGUACAUUAAGCCUUACCUGGACACAAGAUGAAAAGCCUAAUUGGUACAUGCAAGAGUAUUGGCCACGCUGUAAGGCAGCCCCAGGUGUCUUGUUCCCACUUUAAUGUACUGCUUUAGCGUAUUGGGAC